rnacentral:rRNA from 1 species
CCUACGGGAGGCAGCAGUGGGGAAUAUUGCACAAUGGGGGAAACCCUGAUGCAGCGACGCCGCGUGAAGGAAGAAGUAUUUCGGUAUGUAAACUUCUAUCUGCAGGGAAGAAAAUGACGGUACCUGACUAAGAAGCCACGGCUAACUACGUGCCAGCAGCCGCGGUAAGACGUAGGGGGCAAGCGUUAUCCGGAAUUACUGGGUGUAAAGGGAGCGUAGGCGGUGCAGCAAGUCAGAAGUGAAAGCCCCGGGCUCAACUCCGGGACUGCUUUUGAAACUGUUGAACUAGAGUGCAGGAGCGGUAAGUGGAAUUCCUAGUGUAGCGGUGAAAUGCGUAGAUAUUAGGAGGAACACCAGUGGCGAAGGCGGCUUACUGGACUGUAAAUGACGCUGAGGCUCGAAAGCGUGGGGAGCAAACAGGAUUAGAUACCCUUGUAGUC